rnacentral:rRNA from 1 species
AGUCUGGUGCCGGCAGCCACGGUAAUUCCAGCUCCAAUAGCGUAUAUUAAAGUUGCUGCAGUUAAAAAGCUCGUAGUUGGAUCUGGGGCUUGAGGUCGCUGUCUAUCGUUUCGGCGAUGACGGUGAUGCUCAGCUCUGCUUGCCGGUGACUGUUGCGGUGUUCUUCACUGAGCGCUGUAGCAGCACGGCACGUUUACUUUGAAAAAAUUAGAGUGCUCAAAGCGUGCUUGUCGCUUGAAUAAUGUUGCAUGGAAUAAUGGAAUAGGACCUCGGUUCUAUUUUGUUGGUUUUCGGAGCUUGAGGUAAUGAUUAAGAGGGACGAACGGGGGCAUUCGUAUUGCGGUGUUAGAGGUGAAAUUCUUGGAUCGCCGCAAGACGGACUACUACGAAAGCAUUUGCCAAGAACGCUUUCAUUAAUUAAGAACGAAAGUCAGAGGUUCGAAGACGAUCAGACACCGUCCUAGUUCUGACCAUAAACGAUGCCGACCAGCGAUCCGUAGUGGUUGCUUUAUGGACCCUACGGGCAGCCUCCGGGAAACCAAAGUAUUUGGGUUCCGGGGGAAGUAUGGUUGCAAAGCUGAAACUUAAAGGAAUUGACGGAAGGGCACACCAGGAGUGGAGCCUGCGGCUUAAUUUGGCUCAACACGGGAAAACUCACCCGGUCCGGACACCGUAAGGAUUGACAGACUGAUAGCUCUUUCUUGAUUCGGUGGAUGGUGGUGCAUGGCCGUUCUUAGUUGGUGGAGUGAUUUGUCUGGUUAAUUCCGAUAACGAACGAGACUCUAGCCUGCUAAGUAGUGUUGCUAUUGUUAUAUGUUUGACACUUCUUAGAGGGACAAGUGGCAUUUAGCCACGCGAAAUUGAGCAAUAACAGGUCUGUGAUGCCCUUAGAUGUCCGGGGCCGCACGCGCGCUACACUGGAGAAGUCAGCGUGUGUUAUCCAAGUCCGAAAGGACUGGGUAAUCCGUUGAACCUUCUUCGUGCUUGGGACUGUGGCUUGGAACUAUUCCACAUGAACGAGGAAUUCCUAGUAAUUGCAAGUCAUAAGCUUGCGUUGAUUACGUCCCUGCCCUUUGUACACACCGCCCGUCGCUACUACCGAUUGAAUGGUUUAGCAAGGUCCUCGGAUCGUGGCCGUAGGGGCACGCAAGUGUUUCUGCGGUUUGCGAGAAGACGACCAAACUUGAUCAUUUAGA